rnacentral:rRNA from 1 species
ACGAACGCUGGCGGCGUGCCUAAUCCAUGCAAGUCGAACGCUUCUUUCCUCCCGAGUGCUUGCACUCAAUUGGAAAGAGGCGUGGCGGACGGGUGAGUAACACGUGGGUAACCUACCCAUCAGAGGGGGAUAACACUUGGAAACAGGUGCUAAUACCGCAUAACAGUUUAUGCCGCAUGGCAUAAGAGUGAAAGGCGCUUUCGGGUGUCGCUGAUGGAUGGACCCGCGGUGCAUUAGCUAGUUGGUGAGGUAACGGCUCACCAAGGCCACGAUGCAUAGCCGACCUGAGAGGGUGAUCGGCCACACUGGGACUGAGACACGGCCCAGACUCCUACGGGAGGCAGCAGUAGGGAAUCUUCGGCAAUGGACGAAAGUCUGACCGAGCAACGCCGCGUGAGUGAAGAAGGUGUUCGGAUCGUAAAACUCUGUUGUUAGAGAAGAACAAGGACGUUAGUAACUGAACGUCCCCUGACGGUAUCUAACCAGAAAGCCACGGCUAACUACGUG